rnacentral:rRNA from 1 species
UAAGGAAUAUUCCACAAUGGGCGAAAGCCUGAUGGAGCGACGCCGCGUGAGGGAAGAAGGCCUUCGGGUUGUAAACCUCUUUUCUCAGGGAUGACACACCCCCUCAUACGGGGCUAGGACAGUACCUGAGGAAUAAGCAUCGGCUAACUACGUGCCAGCAGCCGCGGUAAUACGUAGGAUGCUAGCGUUGUCCGGAUUUACUGGGCGUAAAGCGCGCGCAGGCGGCACUGUAAGUAAGGUGUGAAAUAUCCCUGCUCAACGGGGAGGGUGCACUUUAGACUGCAGAGCUAGAGGACGGUAGAGGGGGGUGGAAUUGCUGGUGUAGCGGUGAAAUGCGUAGAGAUCAGCAGGAACACCCGUGGCGAAGGCGGCCCCCUGGGCCGAACCUGACGCUGAGGCGCGAAGGCUAGGGGAGCGAACGG